UGGCCUCAAAUCAGGUAGGACUACCCGCUGAACUUAAGCAUAUCAAUAAGCGGAGGAAAAGAAACUAACAAGGAUUCCCCUAGUAACUGCGAGUGAAGAGGGAAAAGCUCAAAUUUAAAAUCUGGCAGCUUCGCUGUCCGAGUUGUAAUUUAGAGAAGU
rnacentral:rRNA from 2 species